rnacentral:rRNA from 1 species
AGUGAACGCUGGCGGUAGGCCUAACACAUGCAAGUCGAACGGCAGCACAGGAGAGCUUGCUCUCUGGGUGGCGAGUGGCGGACGGGUGAGGAAUACAUCGGAAUCUGCCCAGUCGUGGGGGAUAACGUAGGGAAACUUACGCUAAUACCGCAUACGACCUUCGGGUGAAAGAGGGGGAUCGCAAGACCUCUCGCGAUUGGAUGAGCCGAUGUCGGAUUAGCUAGUUGGCGGGGUAAUGGCCCACCAAGGCGACGAUCCGUAGCUGGUCUGAGAGGAUGAUCAGCCACACUGGAACUGAGACACGGUCCAGACUCCUACGGGAGGCAGCAGUGGGGAAUAUGGGACAAUGGGCGCAAGCCUGAUCCAGCCAUACCGCGUGGGUGAAGAAGGCCUUCGGGUUGUAAAGCCCUUUUGUUGGGAAAGAAAUCUUUCAGGCUAAUACCCUGGGAGGAUGACGGUACCCAAAGAAUAAGCACCGGCUAACUUCGUG